rnacentral:rRNA from 1 species
CAAAAACAUCGUCUUAUGAAAUAUAAAUAUAAGGUAACUUCCUGCCCAGUGAAAGUUUUAACGGCCGCGGUAUUUUAACCGUGCAAAGGUAGCAUAAUCAUUUGUCUAUUAAUUGUAGACUAGAAUGAAGGGAAUAACGAAAUAAUUACUAUUAAAACUAAUAGUAUAUAAAUUACUAUCUAAUUUGAAGAUUAUUAGAUAUAGCUGUAAGACAAGAAGACCCUGUAGAGCUUCAUUUAAAAACUUACAUACAAGAAUAAAAAUUUAGUUGGGGCGACUAAUGAUAUAUAGAUCAUCAGCACAGAUAAGAAAUAUUAAUCAAAAGAUGGACCCUUAAUUAGAUCGUAAGAAAAAGCUACCUCAGGGAUAACAGGCUAAUUCUAUUUAAGAGUUCUUAUCAUCAAUAGAGAUUGGCACCUCGAUGUUGGCUUAAGGAGUCUAAUUAACGCAAGAGUUAACUUAGAUGGUUUGUUCAACCAUUAAACCCUUACGUGAUCU